rnacentral:tRNA from 1 species
GCCUGGGUGGCUCAGUUGGUUAGGCGUCUGACUUGAGCUCAGGUCAUGAUCUCCCUGUUCGUGGAUUCAAGCCCCAUUCCGGGCU